ACAUCCAGAGAACUUAGCAGAGAUGCUUUGGUGCCCUCGGGAACUCUGAGACAGGUGCUGCAUGGCUGUCGUCAGCUCGUGUUGUGAAAUGUUGGGUUAAGUCCCGNAACGAGCGCAACCCUUAUCCUUUGUUGCCAGCGGCUCGGCCGGGAACUCAAAGGAGACUGCCGGUGAUAAACCGGAGGAAGGUGGGGAUGACGUCAAGUCAUCAUGGCCCUUACGGCCAGGGCUACACACGUGCUACAAUGGCGCAUACAAAGAGAAGCGACCUCGCGAGAGCAAGCGGACCUCGUAAAGUGCGUCGUAGUCCGGAUUGGAGUCUGCAAUUCGACUCCAUGAAGUCGGAAUCGCUAGUAAUCGUAGAUCAGAAUGCUACGGUGAAUACGUUCCCGGGCCUUGUACACACCGCCCGUCACACCAUGGGAGUGGGUUGCAAAAGAAGUAGGUAGCUUAACCUUCGGGAGGGCGCUUACCACUUUGUGAUUCAUGACUGGGGUGAAGUCGUAACAAGGUAGGCGUAGCGAG
rnacentral:rRNA from 1 species